ACAAGUUCAUCAUCACAUUCCAAAUUCUUAAAAUCAAAACUCACAACUAACGAACACUAAAAACACGAAAGAGAUAAACCAAAACAACAAAACAAUCUGCAACAACAAGCUUCUCAGAUUCUUGAAUUAACCAAACAAAGCUUAAACAGUAGCAACUAAAACCUACACAAGAACUAAUCCUUUCAUUAUAACUAUGAGCCAUAGCGAUCAGAUCGAAUAGUUCCUUCACUAACUAUACCGAUUACAACUGAUCUAAGCCAUUUCAAACAGAUCUAUACCAAAACGAUUCUGCAAUUAGAUCGAGAUCGAGAUCAGAUCUAUAACAAGAUGAGAUGAAUCGAUGAAGAAACAAAAGAAGAAGAGAUACCAGAUGGCGAGAACGAGCUUGGAGGGAAGUGGAAGAAGCAAUGGAAGCCAUGGAAGAAGAGAUCGGAGUUAGAGAUCGGAGGCGGAGAGAGAGAUGUGGGAGAGGUACAGUGAGAGUGAUGAGCCAAGUGGGAGAGAGAUUUUUAUACUUAGAAAAAUAAAUAAAACGUUUUCUGAGAUUCCAAUGAAAGUGAACACAGAGAGACAAAGUCAGGUCACAGGUGAAGGUGGGUGAUUUGGCAAAUGCAGGUUGGAAAAAAUGAUGUAUUUGGCAAAGUUCCAAUAAAUUAUUUUUUCUUUUAAAUAUGUAAU
rnacentral:lncRNA from 1 species